rnacentral:rRNA from 1 species
AACGAACGCUGGCGGCGUGCUUAACACAUGCAAGUCGAGCGGGAAAGUUCCCUUCGGGGGGCGAGUACAGCGGCGAACGGGUGAGUAACACGUAGGUAACCUACCCUGGAGACUGGGAUAACUUGCCGAAAGGCGGGCUAAUACCAGAUAAGACCACGAGGGCUGCGGCUCUUGGGGCAAAAGGUGGCCUCUACUUGUAAGCUACUACUCCGGGAUGGGCCUGCGCGCCAUUAGCUAGUUGGCGGGGUAACGGCCCACCAAGGCAGAGAUGGCUAGCUGGUCUGAGAGGAUGGCCAGCCACACUGGGACUGAGACACGGCCCAGACUCCGUACGGGAGGCAGCAGUGGGAAUAUUGCGCAAUGGGCGAAAGCCUGACGCAGCGACGCCGCGUGGGUGAUGAAGGCC